AUUGAACGCUGGCGGCAGGCCUAACACAUGCAAGUCGAACGAGUGGCGGACGGGUGAGUAAUUUCUGGGAAACUGCCUGAUCGAGGGGGAUAACUACUGUAACCGGUAGCUAAUACCGCAUACCACCCGAUCUGCCCAGAUGUGAUUAGCUAGUAGGUGGGGUAACGGCGCACCGAGGCGACGAUCCCUAGCUGGUCUGAGAGGAUGACCAGCCACACUGGAACUGAGACACGGGCCAGACUCCUACGGGAGGCAGCAGUGGGGAAUAUGGCACAAUGGGCGCAAGCCUGAUGCAGCCAUGCCGCGUGUAUGAAGAAGGCCGUCGGGUUGUAAAGUACUUUCAGCGGGGAGGCGUUACCCGCAGAAGAAGCACCGGCUAACUCCGUGCCAGCCGCCGCGGUAAUUC
rnacentral:rRNA from 1 species